UGGGGGAUAUUGCACAAUGGGCGCAAGCCUGAUGCAGCGACGCCGCGUGGGGGAUGAAGGCCUUCGGGUUGUAAACUUCUUUUGCUCUGAACAAGGCGCACUUUGGGGUGUGUUGAGUGUAGGGGUUGAUUAGCGCCGGCUAACUACGUGCCAGCAGCCGCGGUAAUACGUAGGGCGCGAGCGUUGUCCGGAAUUAUUGGGAGUAAAGGGCUUGUAGGUGGCUGGUUGCGUCUGUCGUGAAAGCUCAUGGCUUAACUGUGGGUUUGCGGUGGGUACGGGCUGGCUUGAGUGCAGUAGGGGAGGCUGGAAUUCCUGGUGUAGCGGUGGAAUGCGCAGAUAUCAGGAGGAAUACCGGUGGCGAAGGCGGGUCUCUGGGCUGUUACUGACACUGAGGAGCGAAAGCAUGGGGAGCGAACAGG
rnacentral:rRNA from 1 species